UACGUAGGUGGCAAGCGUUGUCCAGAUUUACUGGGCGUAAAGGGCGUGCAGGCGGUUUGUUAAGUCUAGGGUGAAAGCUCCCGGCUCAACUGGGAGAGGUCCUUGGAUACUGGCAGACUUGAGGAGGGUAGAGGAGAGUGGAAUUCCCGGUGUAGUGGUGAUAUGCGUAGAUAUCGGGAGGAACACCAGUGGCGAAGGCGGCUCUCUGGGCCGUACCUGACGCUGAGACGCGAAAGCGUGGGGAGCGAACCGG
rnacentral:rRNA from 1 species